UACGGGGGGAGCAAGCGUUGUUCGGAUUUACUGGGCGUAAAGGGCGCGUAGGCGGCGUGACAAGUCACUUGUGAAAUCUCCGGGCUUAACUCGGAACGGUCAAGUGAUACUGUCGGACUAGAGUACAGAAGGGGCAACUGGAAUUCUCGGUGUAGCGGUGAAAUGCGUAGAUAUGCGGAGGAACACCGAUGGCGAAGGCGGGACUCUGGGCCGAUACUGACGCUGAGGAGCGAAAGCGUGGGGAGCAAACAGG
rnacentral:rRNA from 1 species